UACGAAGGGGGCUAGCGUUGCUCGGAAUUACUGGGCGUAAAGGGCGCGUAGGCGGAUGUCUAAGUUGGGGGUGAAAGCCCGGGGCUCAACCUCGGAAUAGCCUUCAAUACUGGAUAUCUUGAGUUCGGGAGAGGUGAGUGGAAUGCCGAGUGUAGAGGUGAAAUUCGUAGAUAUUCGCAAGAACACCAGUGGCGAAGGCGGCUCACUGGCCCGGUACUGACGCUGAGGUGCGAAAGCGUGGGGAGCAAACAGG
rnacentral:rRNA from 1 species